UGGUAGCUAGCGAGGGCUUUGAGACGGCCGAGAGUUUGAGCGCCAAGGCUCUCUCUCCCCAGGGGACUCUGCAACCUGACUAGGUGCUCCUUCCCUGAGCAUAGUAACAUUCCAGGGAGCUGCCCGGGGAAGCUUAACGCUCGAUGCGGGUGGUAGGAAUGUAUCAUGGUGGGAGAGUCAUGGCAGCAGGCAGCUGGAACAGGACACUAAGUAAGAACACCUUCAACUACAAGCAGAAGUCAAGGAGAACUGAAAGUGACAACUGGAACCUUGAGAGCCAAGGGAGAUUGUGGAGAGGAUGUGAGCAGAUGGCCGCUGAGGAUAGCUGACCGGGUGGGUGGGCUGGAACCUAGGCCAGGACCUGCCACCUGAGGAUUGUGCCUGCGAUGUCCAUAUGAUUGUGAACAGCUAAACAGGGAGCUCUGCUCUGUUGAAAAUCAUAAAGUUGAAAAUGAAAAGAGAUAAAACCUUAAGCACAGAAGAAUAUUUUGUCUUUGGUGAAAAGAACAACUUAAGAUUAAUUUUAUUUUUAUGCUGUAUAUGCGUGUGGGUAUGUGCAUGCAAAUUUGGGUGACUCCAAAGGUCAGAGCAUCAAAUCACUUGGAGCUGGGAUUAUAGGCAAAUGAAAGCUGCCAAGCAUAGGAAUCUAACGAAUGUCCUCUGUAUGAGCAGAGAGUACUCCUUACUGCAGAGCCAUGUUUCCAGCUUAAGGAGGGCUUUUAGAAAGAAGAUUGAUAGAGAAUACAUACUUAAUAGUUUGAUGUACUAAAAAGGUUAAUUUUUAUUCACUAUAGACACUAGAAAUAAUAUUUACAAUUUAUAUAAUGCAUGUGAUUAUAGAACUAGAAGUAACAAUAUUAAAUAUAAAUAAAUUAUUGUAAGUCAGAUAAGAGAGAUGGAAACCCCAGUAGGAAAAACCCAUUAAAGUAACUAAAAUGUGG
rnacentral:lncRNA from 1 species